CAGUCGCCACGGUAAUACGUAGGUGGCAAGCGUUGUCCGGAAUUAUUGGGCGUAAAGGGCUCGCAGGCGGUUUCUUAAGUCUGAUGUGAAAGCCCCCGGCUCAACCGGGGAGGGUCAUUGGAAACUGGGAAACUUGAGUGCAGAAGAGGAGAGUGGAAUUCCACGUGUAGCGGUGAAAUGCGUAGAGAUGUGGAGGAACACCGGUGGCGGAGGCGACUCUCUGGUCUGUAACUGACGCUGAGGAGCGAAAGCGUGGGGAGCGAACAGGAUUAGAUACCCCUGUAGUCCCUGUCUCUUAUAC
rnacentral:rRNA from 1 species